rnacentral:lncRNA from 1 species
CAGCUUUAGAUGCUAACAUUGAAGAUGCACAACCAUGAGGAUGUAGGAGACUGGAUCCCUGAAUCACUGCUUGGAUGAUAGCAGCAAGCUUCUUUGGCGUUAAACAACUUAGAUAUUCUGAUAAAGCAUCUACUGUUGCCUUAAUUAAGGAGAGAUGGAUAAUAUUUUCUUGGAUGAAAGUGAUAGAGGUGAGGAUGAAGAGAAGUGGUCAGAUUCUACAUACAAUUAUCAGAGAAACAGGAGUUCCUGAGAAUAUGGAUAUGAUGAGAAGAAAGGAAGUCUUGCCAUGUUGUCCAGAUUGGUCCCAAACUCCUGGGCUCAAGCGAUCAGCCACCUCGGCCUCCCAAAGUAUUGGGAUUACAGGCAUGAGCCACUGCCCGCAGCCAGGUUUUUGUGACUCAGGGGAAGGAUGAUGUCAAGCUGUUGUCAAGCCAAUUGCAUGGAAAGAGAAGAAUUAACGUGUUCUCCCUUCAAAAUGAUGGAUUCCAUGGCUCCACAUUCAUCAUCUGGCUCAUGAUUACCAACUCUUUGCAGUCCAUUGCAGGGUGACCUCGUUAGCACUAUCUGUGCACUUUCUGUGAUAGCGGGCUGCCUGGAGGCCCUGCAUGUGUGGUUCGGGUUAAUGAGGGUCUGAGUCAUCAAGUUAGAAACUCACCUUUCCAGCCAUCAGAUCCAGAAAUGCUAGAAAAAGGCACAGGGCUCAUAAUCAGACAUGCCAUGUUGACGAAAGAGUAAUGUCUCAUCCUGGUGAGAUCGUCCACAGGACCUGUGCUGAAUAAUUGUCAGGCAGCCAUGAGACCACAGUAAGCUCCCAUACUAUCUAGAGGUCAAUUUAUCAUCCAAGAUGGCCUGCUUUGCAGAUUGCUGCAUGCAUACCCUCUGCAGCACCAGGUAGCAGGCAGCAGGAGAGGUAGCCCCACAAUAACACAGCAUGUGUCCCUAGAGCAUCUUCUUAUUGAAAUGGGAGAUUUAAAACCUUUUAAAGAAAACUAAUGGUCCUGUUUGCUGUCUAAGGAUAAAGACGAGUACAUUUUAAUGGUGAAAUAAAGAAACUUCAAAUAAAUUUUUCACUUGAAGCUGGCCUUCUGAGUCCCUCUCUCAAACCUGCCCCCAUCUCACAGUUUCCCACUCCCCUGCUGCUCAGGAUACUUCAGUGGGAAAGUUUAAACAAAACACACUAAGACAGUGUUUUCCAAACAGUGGGUCAUGACCCAUUAGUGGACUGUGAAAAUAAAUUUAGUAGAUCACAACCAACAUUAAAAAAUAAAAAAAAGAAAUAGGAGCUGGGUGCAGUGGUGUGUGCCUGUAGUCUCAGGUACUUGGGAGGCUGAGUGGGGAGGAUUGCUUGAGUCUAGAAGUUCGAGGCUGCAAUGAUCUAUGAUGGUGCUUGUGAAUAGCCACGGAGUCUAGCCUGGGCAACAUAGCAAGACCCUGUAUCUAAAAAAAAAAUAAAAAUAAGAAAAGAAAUAAAAUAGAACAUCUGGAUUGCAAUGAAAUGCAUUCUUUAUUGGAUAUAGUGAUAAAAACUCUUUCAAAGCUGUUGCCCUAAGUGAUAAAUUUUGGUAACUUCUUCCUAUAUAAAAUAAUUAUUUAAAAAAUCCUGAAAAUGAAUAAAACAAAUGUUUUAUGAUGAUUGAUACUAGCCAUAUCUGGUGAUUAACAGGAGUAAUAAGGAAUAACAUGCUCACUCCAACGCUCAUAAGCCUUAUCACCUAGAUAUUUUUUCUUGAAGCAAUCUCCACAUUCUCCAUAGUGGAGACUAUAACUGAUUCAGGGUAUGGUGGAGCAUGUGUGUGUGUGUGUGUGUGUGUGUGUGUGUGUGUAUGUUUGCAUGUGAGUAUGUAAUCUGGCUCCUGUGGAAAGAAAACACAUUGCUGGAAGAUGAAAUCACUGGACAUAAUUCUUUAUUUCAAGCCUUUUCAGUUACACAGCUUCUUUUAAAAGUUUGACAUGCAAAAUUGUUAAAUAUCAAAAUGCAAAUCAUGUAAUUUCUCUUCCAGAUGUCCUGCUUAGCUGCAUAUUUUUUCAGCCUGUGUAUGUAACCCCAAUGCUCAGUAACAUAGCUUUCUGUUCAAAUCAUCUGUUUCUAUGACCUUUGCCUUUAUUGAUUCGUUUUCUUUUUUCCUAUUUUUAAUGUUGCCUUUGAGAUUAAAGUCAUUUUU